rnacentral:rRNA from 1 species
AUUGAACGCUGGCGGCAGGCCUAACACAUGCAAGUCGAGCGGAGCGGCGGACGGGUGAGUAAUGCCUAGGAAUCUGCCUGGUAGUGGGGGAUAACGUCCGGAAACGGGCGCUAAUACCGCAUACCCUCAGCUGUGCCCCGAUGGGAUUGUCUAGUAGGUGGGGUAAGGGCUCACCUAGGCGACGAUACCUAGCUGGUCUGAGAGGAUGACGAGCCACACUGGAACUGAGACACGGUCCAGACUCCUACGGGAGGCAGCAGUGGGGAAUAUUGCACAAUGGGCGCAAGCCUGAUGCAGCCAUGCCGCGUGUGGGAAGAAGGCCUUCGGGUUGUAAAGCACUUUCAGCGGGGAGGCGUUACCCGCAGAAGAAGCACCGGCUAACUCCGUGCCAGCAGCCGCGGUAAUUC